AGAGCUGUCAUUGGAAUUAGCUGUGUUUGUCCUGAGAAUCCUAUAGUUUUGGCAUAUUUACCAGACGUGGGGAGAUGAGAGGCAUAAUUUGGUUUUACACAUGUCCUGAAUGGAGCACGAGAAGGGCCGGAGGAAGGAAAGAACGAGGGACAUUAUAUCCACAAUGACAAUUUAAUUAGUGAUGUCUGUCAAGCAGUGUGCUCUAUUUGGGACUGUGUCCCCCUACAUACACUGGACAACCUGAAAGAGACCUGUCUUGUAUUGUCAGCAUGUCACCAUUUUCCUCUGGAGAUUUCAGUGUCAGAACAGUAAAUACAAAGAAAAACACGUCUAUAGAAG
rnacentral:lncRNA from 1 species